AACUAACGCUGGCGGCGUGCCUAACACAUGCAAGUCGUACGAGAAAGUCGGCUUCGGCUGAUGAGUAAAGUGGCGCACGGGUGAGUAACGCGUGGAUAAUCUGCCCUUUAGUUGGGAAUAACGUACCGAAAGGUGCGCUAAUACCGAAUAAUGCUGAGUGACAUCAGUUAUUUAGCCAAAGAAGGCCUCUGCUUGCAAGCUUUCGCUGAAGGAUGAGUCCGCGUACCAUUAGCUAGUUGGUAGGGUAAUGGCCUACCAAGGCGACGAUGGUUAGCUGGUCUGAGAGGAUGAUCAGCCACACUGGAACUGAGACACGGUCCAGACUCCUACGGGGAGGCAGCAGUGAGGAAUAUUGCGCAAGUGGGGCAACCCUGACGCAGCAACGCCGCGUGAGUGAGGAAGGUUUCGGACUGUAAAGCUCUGUCGAGCGGGAAGAAAUGCCUGAUGGCUAAUAUCCAUCAUGCUUGACGGUACCG
rnacentral:rRNA from 1 species